GUAACUGAGUUGUACGGAUCAUUGGUGUUUCACUUAUGAGAAUAAGGCUACACCAUAGCCAUACCUCUCAUAUUUCUUACUCACCUUUGAGAAAAGGGGGUUUGAAGGAAAUGGGCACACAAAGUGUUUGUUAAAUUGCCUCACCUAGCCAAGUUGCCAUGAGAAUGGGACUUCGGAUUAGUUGAUAGUCCAAUAGAUC